AGCGUUAAUCGGAAUUACUGGGCGUAAAGGGAGCGUAGGUGGCUCUAUAAGUCAGAUGUGAAAUCCCCGGGCUUAACCUGGGAACUGCAUCUGAAACUGUAGAGCUAGAGUAUGUGAGAGGAAGGUAGAAUUCCAGGUGUAGCGGUGAAAUGCGUAGAGAUCUGGAGGAAUACCGAUGGCGAAGGCAGCCUUCUGGCAUAAUACUGACACUGAGGCUCGAAAGCGUGGGUAGCAAACAGGAUUAGAUACCCUGGUAGUCCACGCCGUAAACGAUGUCUACUAGUCGUUGGGUCCCUUGAGGACUUAGUGACGCAGCUAACGCAAUAAGUAGACCGCCUGGGGAGUACGGCCGCAAGGUUAAAACUCAAAUGAAUUGACGGGGGCCCGCACAAGCGGUGGAGCAUGUGGUUUAAUUCGAUGCAACGCGAAGAACCUUACCUGGUCUUGACAUAUCUAGAAUCCUGCAGAGAUGCGGGAGUGCCUUCGGGAAUUAGAAUACAGGUGCUGCAUGGCUGUCGUCAGCUCGUGUCGUGAGAUGUUGGGUUAAGUCCCGCAACGAGCGCAACCCUUGUCCUUAGUUACCAGCGGGUUAAGCCGGGAACUCUAAGGAUACUGCCAGUGACAAACUGGAGGAAGGCGGGGACGACGUCAAGUCAUCAUGGCCCUUACGACCAGGGCUACACACGUGCUACAAUGGUAGGUACAGAGGGCAGCUACACAGCGAUGUGAUGCGAAUCUCAAAAAGCCUAUCGUAGUCCAGAUUGGAGUCUGCAACUCGACUCCAUGAAGUAGGAAUCGCUAGUAAUCGCGGAUCAGAAUGCCGCGGUGAAUACGUUCCCGGGCCUUGUA
rnacentral:rRNA from 1 species